GACGAACGCUGGCGGCGUGCCUAAUACAUGCAAGUCGAACGCAGUGGGGACGGGUGAGUAACACGUGGGUAACCUCCCAUCAGAGGGGAUAACACUUGGAAACAGGUGCUAAACCGAUACUGAUGGAUGGACCCGCGGUGCAUUAGCUAGUUGGGGAGGUAACGGCUCACCAAGGCCACGAUGCAUAGCCGGCCUGGGAGGGUGAUCGGCCACACUGGGACUGGGACACGGCCCAGACUCCUACGGGAGGCAGCAGUAGGGAAUCUUCGGCAAUGGGCGGAAGUCUGACCGAGCAAAGCCGCGGGAGUGAAGAAGGUUUUCGGAUCGUAAAGCUCUGUUGUAAGAGAAGCGGUAUCUUACCAGAAAGGGACGGCUAACUACGUGCCAGCAGCCGCGGUAAUUC
rnacentral:rRNA from 1 species